AACUUGCCGAAUUCACGGCCAGCAUCCCAUCAUCAUCAACAUCAUUAUCAUCAUAGUAAUAGUAAUAGAUGAAUGUGUUGGUGGGAUCGUCCUGCAACGUCGUAUUUCCCUUUAACAAGUCUCCCGGGACGUUAGCAGGAGGAGAGCUCGUUCACGAUGAAAAACAUCGUCAAAUGCUUAUUUCUAUAGGUUUUUCAUGACUCGUGUGUUGUUGAUGCGUACACGUGAAUAAAACAAAAAACAACAAAAUAAAAUGAACACAUAUACAAAAUCAGAUUUGAAACAAAGUAUAAAAAUAAAUGAGAAAGCAAAAAAAUUAACAAAGACAUCAAAUAAAAAUGAAAAAACAGGGUGAAAGAAAGAGUCCACGUUACGGUAAGGUAAUUCGAACCAACAGAAAGUUGGUUUUGGGCAACGUAACCAAGGUGGGAAUGGACAGAGGGACACAACAGGAGGGAUUGUGCAUCGUCUAGGGAUCCUAUCAACGUGUGGGAGAGA
rnacentral:lncRNA from 1 species